CGGACGGGUGAGUAAUGUCUGGGAAACUGCCUGAUGGAGGGGGAUAACUACUGGAAACGGUAGCUAAUACCACAUAACGUCGCAAGACCAAAGAGGGGGACCUUCGGGCCUCUUGCCAUCGGAUGUGCCCAGAUGGGAUUAGCUAGUAGGUGGGGUAACGGCUCACCUAGGCGACGAUCCCUAGCUGGUCUGAGAGGAUGACCAGCCACACUGGAACUGAGACACGGUCCAG
rnacentral:rRNA from 1 species